rnacentral:rRNA from 1 species
AACGAACGCUGGCGGCAUGCCUAACACAUGCAAGUCGAACGAAGCCUUCGGGCUUAGUGGCGCACGGGUGCGUAACGCGUGGGAAUCUGUCCUUGGGUUCGGAAUAACCGUUAGAAAUGACUGCUAAUACCGGAUGAUGUCUUCGGACCAAAGAUUUAUCGCCCAAGGAUGAGCACGCGUAGGAUUAGGUAGUUGGUGGGGUAAUGGCCCACCAAGCCGACGAUCCUUAGCUGGUCCGAGAGGAUGAUCAGCCACACUGGGACUGAGACACGGCCCAGACUCCUACGGGAGGCAGCAGUGGGGAAUAUUGGACAAUGGGCGAAAGCCUGAUCCAGCAAUGCCGCGUGAGUGAUGAAGGCCUUAGGGUUGUAAAGCUCUUUUACCAGGGAUGAUAAUGACAGUACCUGGAGAAUAAGCUCCGGCUAACUCCGUGCCAGCCGCCGCCGUAACAC